rnacentral:rRNA from 1 species
GACGAACGCUGGCGGCGUGCUUAACACAUGCAAGUCGAACGGUAAGGCCCUUCGGGGUACACGAGUGGCGAACGGGUGAGUAUCACGUGGGUGAUCUGCCCUGCACUUCGGGAUAAGCCUUGGAAACUGGGUCUAAUACCGGAUAGGACUCCUGCCUGCAUGGGUGGGGGUGGAAAGCUUUUGUGGUGUGGGAUGGGCCCGCGGCCUAUCAGCUUGUUGGUGGGGUGUUGGCCUACCAAGGCGACGACGGGUAGCCGGCCUGAGAGGGUGACCGGCCACGCUGGGACUGAGAUACGGCCCAGACUCCUACGGGAGGCAGCAGUGGGGAAUAUUGCACAAUGGGCGCAAGCCUGAUGCAGCGACGCCGCGUGAGGGAUGACGGCCUUCGGGUUGUAAACCUCUUUCAGCACAGACGAAGCGCAAGUGACGGUAUGUGCAGAAGAAGGACCGGCCAACUACGUGCCAGCAGCCGCCGUAA